UACGGAGGGUGCAAGCGUUGUUCGGAAUUAUUGGGCGUAAAGAGCGCGUAGGCGGGUCGUUAAGUCAGGGGUGAAAUCCCGGAGCUCAACUCCGGAACUGCCUUUGAUACUGGCGAUCUAGAGAUCGAGAGAGGUGAGUGGAAUUCCGAGUGUAGAGGUGAAAUUCGUAGAUAUUCGGAAGAACACCAGUGGCGAAGGCGGCUCACUGGCUCGAUACUGACGCUGAGGUGCGAAAGCGUGGGGAGCAAACAGGAUUAG
rnacentral:rRNA from 1 species